AGAAAAGAAAAGAUAAACAUCCAACCAAAGAAACUGUUGUGGAAUUAAAACCAGAGGAAGAACUGGAGCCGGCGAUAACCAUCUGCCAGGAGACAACACAGAAAUCAGGCAAUGACACCUGCCAGCCUGAACUUGAAAACCAGCAAGAGAAUGCUGAAGUAAAUGAAGAAAACCUCAGAGACAUCGAUGAGGAGACAACGCAGAAAUCAGGCAAUGACACCUGCCAGCCUGAACUCGAAAACCAGCAAGAGAGUGCUGAAGUAAACGAGGAAAAC